GGCUUAGUAGUACAGCUUGGUUAUUAUACCUAGACGAAUGCUCUAGGAGGUUAUAGGUUCAAAUCCUAUCUACGCCC